GAUGAACGCUGGCGGCGUGCUUAACACAUGCAAGUCGAACGGGAAUUACUUUAUUGAAACUUCGGUCGAUUUAAUUUAAUUCUAGUGGCGGACGGGUGAGUAACGCGUGGGUAACCUGCCUUAUACAGGGGGAUAACAGUCAGAAAUGGCUGCUAAUACCGCAUAAGCGCACAGAGCUGCAUGGCUCGGUGUGAAAAACUCCGGUGGUAUAAGAUGGACCCGCGUUGGAUUAGCUUGUUGGUGGGGUAACGGCCCACCGAGGCGACGAUCCAUAGCCGGCCUGAGAGGGUGAACGGCCACAUUGGGACUGAGACACGGCCCAGACUCCUACGGGAGGCAGCAGUGGGGAAUAUUGCACAAUGGGGGAAACCCUGAUGCAGCGACGCCGCGUGAAGGAAGAAGUAUCUCGGUAUGUAAACUUCUAUCAGCAGGGAAGAUAGUGACGGUAC
rnacentral:rRNA from 1 species